AACGAACGCUGGCGGCAUGCCUAACACAUGCAAGUCGAACGAGACCUUCGGGUCUAGUGGCGCACGGGUGCGUAACGCGUGGGAACCUGCCCUUGGGUUCGGAAUAACUCACCGAAAGGCGUGCUAAUACCGGAUGAUGUCGUAAGACCAAAGAUUUAUCGCCCAGGGAUGAGCCCGCGUAAGAUUAGGUAGUUGGUGAGGUAAAGGCUCACCAAGCCGACGAUCUUUAGCUGGUCUGAGAGGGCGGACGGCCACACUGGGACUGAGACACGGCCCAG
rnacentral:rRNA from 1 species